GACGAACGCUGGCGGCGUGCUUAACACAUGCAAGUCGAACGGUGAAGCGCCUUCCUUUUUGGUGGGUGUGGAUGAGUGGCGAACGGGUGAGUAACACGUGAGUAACCUGCCCCCUUCUUCUGGAUAACCGCAUGAAAGUGUGGCUAAUACGGGAUAUUCUGGGUCUGUCGCAUGAUGGGUCUGGGAAAGAUAUUGUUUCGGUUGGGGAUGGGCUCGCGGCCUAUCAGCUUGUUGGUGGGGUGAUGGCCUACCAAGGCGGUGACGGGUAGCCGGCCUGAGAGGGUGGACGGUCACACUGGGACUGAGACACGGCCCAGACUCCUACGGGAGGCAGCAGGGGGGAAUAUUGCACAAUGGGCGCAAGCCUGAUGCAGCGACGCCGCGUGAGGGAUGGAGGCCUUCGGGUUGUGAACCUCUUUCGCCAGUGAAGCAGGCCUGCCUCGUUUGUGGGUGGGUUGACGGUAGCUGGAUAAGAAGCGCCGGCUAACUACGUG
rnacentral:rRNA from 1 species